UGCCUAGUGGCCCAGCGGUCAAGGCGUCUGACUGUUACUUGCAGAAUAUCAGAAGAUCCCUGGUUCGAUCCCAGGCUAGGCAG